UGGUAGUGCGGUUCUAGACGCUAUUUUAGACCUUAUAUAGCCAUCACGUGCAUCAAAACGGCAGAGCGCAGUUGAUGCUUCAGCGGAUAAUUUGACGCAACGUUCUAUAGCUUGUGAAUGGCAUGGGAACUCUCACUUGGAACUUCUGAGAUCAUUCCUUUAAACUACCGUCGAAAAUCAAUACUUGAGACUGGGAGCUACUCUUUGAAACAACGGAUAGACCAAAGCGGCCAAACGCAGUCGGUGCUUAUAAAAAUAGGCCUAGCUCCUAGCAUAUGAAAACCGUUUCUUAACAGUGUUUCCAAGAGCAAGUUUUUGUCUAUUCGGACGUCGAAAUUGUGACUACGGGUAUGAUUUGGCUCACCUUGACGACAGGCUUUUGCAUACCUCGUCCAAGACAACAAAUUUUAAUUUCAGGUCUGUUGUUUAUAUUCGUAACUUCCGUGCAAGAGACUAAAUACCUAAAGAUUUAUUCAGUGCAGACAGAGUAAUACAUGCUUCAACGUUUGCUAGGCAACUUAUUUGAUGCCGUUCGUCUCGUUAAAUGCAUAGCAACUUUG